rnacentral:ncRNA from 1 species
UAGGGUAGAGGCGCGAAAGUUAAUAGUAUUAUUGAUGAGGAAAGCACUGUGAUUCAAUAAGAAAGGAGCAAUCGCCGAAGUGUACAACUAAUGCUUUAAGGUUGUAUAGCUGGGAAUACAUAGAAUAUAUGUAUUACUGUCACAAAGUAUUUUGUGGUGAGCUAUCAUU